rnacentral:lncRNA from 1 species
AGUACCGGUUAUUUCAACCGGUAAUAAAAGAAUCCCCUCUAGUACCGGAUUGCCAGUACCGGUUGGUAAACCGGUACUAGAGGGGGUUUGGGAACCACGGUACUAGAGGCAAUUUUUCCAGUAGUGGGUAAGACUUGAGAGUAGUAGCAUAUUGAUUAUAUACAGAAUAUAGGAACCAAUUAAAAGAUAUAUAUGAGAUUCAUACAGUGCCCAAACUAUAUAAUCCAAUCAUCUACAAUGCUUAUAAUCCCGCUAUCUCCCACCAUCAACCAUUUUGAAAUUAUAGGCAAAACAAUCUUGAACCACCAUGUAAUCCAGGGAUCCACACAAACUAGUUAUUUAUCAAGGAAAUUCCUUACAUAUCACUAAAAAAGUUCGUAAUUCCAAAUCUGCCAUAAAAAAAAGGACCGGCGCCCUAGGAGUUACUACAAAUUUUUUCCCCUCACAUGCCACUUCUGUUACCCCUACUCGUCGUUACGGCUAUAGAACCUAUCAAACUUUUGUGCGAAUGACAAAAAUGCUCCCUUUCCCAUUUUUGUUUUAUUUCCCUUUCCUUCCCCCCACCACUCUAUAUUCUCAAUGCUCCACGCAGCUCCUCCAACACCGUGGCGCAUCUUCUCCUCUAGCAUUC